rnacentral:rRNA from 1 species
UGCCAGCCGCCGCGGUAAUACGGAGGGUGCUAGCGUUGUUCGGAAUUACUGGGCGUAAAGAGCGCGUAGGCGGUUCGGUAAGUUGGUAGUGAAAUCCCAGGGCUUAACCCUGGAACUGCUAUCAAAACUACAUUUCUUGAGUUUGGUAGAGGAGAGUGGAAUUCCUAGUGUAGAGGUGAAAUUCGUAGAUAUUAGGAGGAACACCAGUGGCGAAGGCGACUCUCUGGGCCAAUACUGACGCUGAGGUUCGAAAGCGUGGGUAGCGAACAGGAUUAGAUA